rnacentral:rRNA from 1 species
AUUGAACGCUGGCGGCAUGCCUUACACAUGCAAGUCGAACGGCAGCACGGGAGCAAUCCUGGUGGCGAGUGGCGAACGGGUGAGUAAUAUAUCGGAACGUGCCCAGUCGUGGGGGAUAACGCAGCGAAAGCUGUGCUAAUACCGCAUACGAUCUAAGGAUGAAAGCGGGGGAUCGAAAGACCUCGCGCGAUUGGAGCGGCCGAUAUCAGAUUAGCUAGUUGGUGGGGUAAAGGCCCACCAAGGCGACGAUCUGUAGCUGGUCUGAGAGGACGACCAGCCACACUGGAACUGAGACACGGUCCAGACUCCUACGGGAGGCAGCAGUGGGGAAUUUUGGACAAUGGGCGCAAGCCUGAUCCAGCAAUGCCGCGUGCAGGAUGAAGGCCUUCGGGUUGUAAACUGCUUUUGUAUGGAACGAAACGGCCCUUUCUAAUACAGGGGGCUAAUGACGGUACCGUAAGAAUAAGCACCGGCUAACUACGUGCCAGCCGCCGCGGUAA